UUUUUUACAUGAUGAAAAUAUCUUUUUAACCAGUUAUCCCUGGCAGACAAUCACCUGGUGAUAGCUUAAAUCUGAUAAAAAA
rnacentral:snoRNA from 1 species